rnacentral:rRNA from 1 species
CUAGUUGGUGAGGUAAGAGCUUACCAAGGCGUCGAUCGGUAGCUGGUCUGAGAGGACGAUCAGCCACACUGGGAUUGAGAACGGCCCAGACUCCUACGGGGGGCAGCAGUGAGGAAUUUUCCGCAAUGGGGGCAACCCUGACGGAGCAACGCCGCGUGCAGGAGGACGCUUUUCGGAGUGUAAACUGCUUUUCUGUGGGAAGAGCAAGGACGGUACCACAGGAAGAAGCCCCGGCUAACUACGUGCCAGCAGCCGCGGUAAUACGUAGGGGGCGAGCGUUGUCCGGAGUUACUGGGCGUAAAGGGCAUGCAGGCGGUCGUACGCGUUUCGGGUGACAGCGGGUGGCUUAACUACCCGAGUGUUCGAAAGACGGUACGACUUGAGGGCUCGAGAGGGACACGGAAUUCCGGGUGGAGUGGUGAAAUGCGUAGAGAUCCGGAGGAACACCGAAGGCGAAGGCAGUGUCCUGGCGAGUGACUGACGCUGAGGUGCGAAAGCUAGGGGAGCGAACGGGAUUAGAUACCCCGGUAGUCCUAGCCGUAAACGAUGACCACCAGGUGUGGGAGGUAUCGACCCCUUCCGUGCCGGAGUUAACACACUAAGUGGUCCGCCUGGGGAGUACGGUCGCAAGAUUAAAACUCAAAGGAAUUGACG